AUUGAACGCUGGCGGAAUGCUUUACACAUGCAAGUCGAGCGGCAGCGCGGGGCAACCUGGCGGCGAGCGGCGAACGGGUGAGUAACAUAUCGGAACGUACCCAGUCGUGGGGGAUAACUAUCCGAAAGGAUAGCUAAUACCGCAUACGACCUGAGGGUGAAAGCGGGGGACCGAAAGGCCUCGCGCGAUUGGAGCGGCCGAUAUCGGAUUAGCUAGUUGGUGAGGUAAAGGCUCACCAAGGCGACGAUCCGUAGCUGGUCUGAGAGGAUGAUCAGCCACACUGGGACUGAGACACGGCCCAGACUCCUACGGGUGGCUGCAGUCGAGGAUCUUCGUCAAUGGGCGAAAGCCUGAACGAGCGACGCCGCGUGUGCGAUGAAGGCC
rnacentral:rRNA from 1 species